GAUGAAGAACGCAGCGAAAUGCGAUAAUUAAUGUGAAUUGCAGAAUUCAGUGAAUCAUCGAGUCUUUGAACGCACAUUGCGCCCCCUGGUAUUCCGGGGGGCAUACCUGUCCGAGCGUCAUUGCUGCCCUCAAGCACGGCUUGUGUGUUGGGCUUCCGUCCCUGGCAACGGGGACGGGCCCAAAAGGCAGUGGCGGCACCAUGUCUGGUCCUCGAGCGUAUGGGGCUUUGUCACCCGCUCCCGUAGGUCCAGCUGGCAGCUAGCCUCGCAACCAAUCUUUUUAACCAGGUUGACCUCGGAUCAGGUAGGGAUACCCGCUGAACUUAAGCAUAUCAAUAAGCGGAGGA
rnacentral:misc_RNA from 1 species